GAAUUCUGUUCAAGAGAGCGUGGCGUAUUGACUGGCUGUAAGGUCCGAUACAUCACCGCCGAAGGCGCAAUCUCCUAUGAUCGCUCAGGCCCGCGUAUUGAUCAGAUAAU
rnacentral:ncRNA from 2 species